rnacentral:lncRNA from 1 species
AAAAAAAAAAAAAAAAGGUGGCUUUAGUGGCAAGGAGAUUACAGGUGUGAGAAAAUGAUGUUCCUUUUCAUAAAGGGAAUGGAGAGACCCAUUUAAGAAGGAAAAAAUGGUUUGAGAAGUCAGAAUUAACAUCUGGAAUAAUACAUUAAGUAGUAGGAAAUUAGCUUAAUUAGGAAACUUGUCUAUUAGAAUUGGAGUAUACCUGGAAGAAAGGAGAUAGAGUAAGUGUGGCAGCACUCCCAGGACCUGUUCACAGAGAUCGGCCUAGGGAUACCAGUAAAAAGAAAAAAAAAAAAAAAUUAAAGCCUACUUAGCAUAUGAUUCGUGGAAUGCAAACUUGAAUAAACUACUUGAGAGAUAUAAUAAAGUAAAAUAAUGAUACAAAUGUGGUAUUGCCUCAGGAAGAUUUGAACAGUAAUCCAUGUGGCCUUGUUUGAGUGGCAGGCAGAUUCAGGCACAUAGUACUUCACAUAGGCAUUUGGUGAGUGAAGUUUGUGAAAGAGACGUCUCCAGCUUCACACACUGGUGGUCAGACUUGGUACUUUAUUCACACAGCUCAUCAAGCCUGUUUGUACAGAUGUUCUCUACCUUGGGGAUAGAGCGCACCCAAGAGGAAGACUGACAGAGCAGCAGCUCUGACCGCGGUUCUCUGUCUAGCUCCCAUGCCCUUGAGGUUUCAGACGUCUGAGAGAGGGUCUUACUGCGUAAUCUGGGUUGGGCUCAAAGUCCAUGGCCUUUUAUCUCGGACGUGUUGGGAGCAUAGGCAGGCAGCCCAUACCAGGUUCUUCUAGUGCCUUUUCUUUUUGUGUGGUUUGCAUCUGGUGUCAAGAUUGUUCUCAAGAACAUGGUGAGUCCGUUACUGCAUCCCUCAAACAACAGGUUCGUUCAGGUACUAGACUUAGUUGGCGAGCUGUGUACCCUCUUAAAUUUCGAACCUGAGUUUCUUCGGUUGUGUCUACAAGAGUAGGUGGGAAUGAAUAUGAUCAUUUCCUUUUACGAAGCAGCACGUGAACUCAGGUCAGAGUUUCACUGUGAGCAUUGCGCAAACGCACAUGAUUUUAAUUCUUUAUGCUUUCAUAACUGAUUUCCUAUAGGCAGUUUUGCCAAGCAGGUUCUCAUCCUGUUGCAUAACCAUCUCCCUUUCAAAAAACCAGAUCAAAGGUGAGAUCAUUGGCCCAGAGUGCAAACAGAGGUGGCCUGGCUUCCACUGGCAUAGCAAGCAGAUUUACAUUGAUCUUAGAAAUAAAAAUGACCAUGUAGAAUACAGGAGUUUGUAAGGAUGGUAGGCACGGGGUCAUCUAAGUCACAGAAGUGAAGUGAUGUGUUUGGAAUCAGCAAGAUUGUAUUAGAAAGGAAAAUGUGGACAAGACCAGCCUAAGGGGACAUCACAGAACUUUGGUUCCACUCCUGCCACUUUGUAAGAGAGCCCGUGUAUCACAUCCAUUCAGGCUGUUCUCUGAAUUGGGACUCAGGCUUGCAGGAAGACUAGUUAGCAGGGCCAUCGCCAAAAACAUAGAAACCCUGGGUGUCUAAGGCAUAAGAGAAAAGGGGAGAAAUGGCCUCUUGAGUCUGUAUCAUUUUUUACUUUAAUGCCAUUACUUCCUAUUACAUUUGAGUAGUUGAAUGUAGGGUGCACCAUCCGUUUGAGGGAGAAAGCCCAUGUUUUUGUAACUGAAUCUUUGUUCUCAGUGUGUUCUGAACCAGCAGGAUCAGGACCUCAAGAAUUAAUAAGAAACUAGUCUUUCUUUAGCAAAUAGGAGUACAGAGUUUUAUUAAGCAUGUAUUGGUAGUUGUGGAAUUUGAGACUGGACACUAUUUAACAUUUCCAUGUUCACAUAUCUCAAAACCAGCAGUUACUUAAGGAGCUGGGGUCUGGGAGUGGCGCUGACCCUCGCCCUCCAGGAAGGGAACCAGCAUUGCCUCCGGUGUGUCUCUGCCACACUGCCUGAAAUUCAGGCAGGUGGUCAAUCCAGAUGCCUUUAAUGGCCAGCCACGGGCAUCUUAUUUGUAUUUCUAGAAACAAAACCUACUGGGCUUGCCAGCUAAAACAUAUGCAGGCUUCUUGUAGGUAGGUAACUGUGUAGGCUGAAGCGUGUGGUACAGAGUUCUUCUGAGUACCUUCCUGCAGGGAGUGCAUGUGGUCGCCUGUGGCUGUGCUGUGAGGACGCCGCUCCCUGGACUUGAGCUGCUGCGUAUGCUGAGACACCGUCAGGUUCUUUUCCUCUCUAGAAAGUAUUGCCAUGAUUAUUCAUAUAUUUUCUAAAAUGCUUCUAGAUCUCAAAGACGGAAUUAGACUGGUUCCUCCAAGAUUUGGACAGAGAGAUUAAAAAGUGGCAACAAGAGAAAAAAGAAAUCCAAGAAAGAUUAAAAGCCCU